rnacentral:rRNA from 1 species
GACGAACGCUGGCGGUGUGCUUAACACAUGCAAGUCGAACGGUGAACCUCUUCGGAGGGGAUCAGUGGCGAACGGGUGAGUAACACGUGGGCAACCUGCCCCCGGCUCUGGGAUAACUCCAAGAAAUUGGGGCUAAUACCGGAUGUUCACCGCUUCCCGCAUGGGUGGUGGUGGAAAGGGUUUCCGGCUGGGGAUGGGCCCGCGGCCUAUCAGCUUGUUGGUGGGGUAGUGGCCUACCAAGGCGACGACGGGUAGCCGGCCUGAGAGGGUGACCGGCCACACUGGGACUGAGACACGGCCCAGACUCCUACGGGAGGCAGCAGUGGGGAAUAUUGCGCAAUGGGCGGAAGCCUGACGCAGCGACGCCGCGUGGGGGAUGACGGCCUUCGGGUUGUAAACCUCUUUCAGCAGGGACGAAGCGCAAGUGACGGUACCUGCAGAAGAAGCACCGGCCAACUACGUG